rnacentral:rRNA from 1 species
AAGGGCACCACAAGAACGCGUGGAGCAUGUGGCUUAAUUUGACUCAACGCGGGAAAUCUUACCGGGUCCGGACACACUGAGGAUUGACAGGCAAUAUCAGAAUACUCGUAUUCUGUGUUAAAUAUGCUAGUCCUUUCAUGAUUAUGUGAUAGGUGGAGCAUGGCCGUUCUUAGUUCGUGGAGUGAUCUGUCUGCUUAAUUGCGUUUCACUAAGGACCUAUACAUUUACGUGUGUUGCGACGUUUUGACCCCUCCUUCGGGAGCUGCGUGUCUUAACUGUCUGCUCGCACAAUUAGGUUCUGAAAGCAACGAACGUGACCGCAACCUCUUGUUGCCUUUUGAUACCAACAACGCUCGCCUUCGCGGCUUGUGUUGCACAAAGGCUUUUUAAACUAGAGGGACCGCUGUUACUUUCUUAAACCAGAGGAAGGUUGCGGCAAUAACAGGUCUGUGAUGCCCUUAGAUGUUCCGGGCUGCACACGUGCUACAAUGAUUAUUGCAGUGAGCAUCUCAUUUGAUUUAACACACUGCAUGCGCGGGCCCAUUUAUUCAGCAUUAGUGCUGCUUUAAGUGUUUUUCUCUGCGCCCAGUAAAGCCUGCUUCGAUAGCAAGUGGGUAAUCAAUUAGAAGUAAUGAUUUCCAUAUAGCACACAUAUAUACGGCGUUUAUGCCCGGGCUAUACUUGUUAUAGCUUUUGUGUUGCAUGAAUGCAUACCUUUCAACAGGUAUUUCCGUAUGUGCGAUUGUCAAUUCAUGGUGGGGACAGACCAUUGUUAAUUGUUGGUCUCGGUCUUAACUAGGAAUGCCUUGUACGGGUCUUUGGUUCAACAAACCACCCGGAAUACGUCCCUGCCCUCUGUACACACCGCCCGUCGCUCUUACCGAUGGACUUCUCUGUGAGUUUGAGGGACUGGGAACGCAUGUCACUCUUGUGACACGCACGCCUAUGGAAACUUAAACGAACAGUGUGGUCUAAAGGAAAGAGAAGUCGAACAAGGCA